rnacentral:rRNA from 1 species
CGGUACUCGCGAAUGCUCUAGAUUAGAGUUUGAUCAUGGCUCAGGCACGAACGCUGGCGGCGAUGCCUAAUACAUGCAAGUCGAGCGAACAGAGAAGGAGCUUGCUCCUUCGACGUUAGCGGCGGACGGGUGAGUAACACGUGGGCAACCUACCUUAUAGUUUGGGAUAACUCCGGGAAACCGGGGCUAAUACCGAAUAAUCUAUUUUACUUCAUGGUGAAAUACUGAAAGACGGUUUCGGCUGUCGCUAUAAGAUGGGCCCGCGGCGCAUUAGCUAGUUGGUGAGGUAACGGCUCACCAAGGCGACGAUGCGUAGCCGACCUGAGAGGGUGAUCGGCCACACUGGGACUGAGACACGGCCCAGACUCCUACGGGAGGCAGCAGUAGGGAAUCUUCCACAAUGGGCGAAAGCCUGAUGGAGCAACGCCGCGUGAGUGAAGAAGGUUUUCGGAUCGUAAAACUCUGUUGUAAGGGAAGAACAAGUACAGUAGUAGCUGGCUGUACCUUGACGGUACCUUAUUAGAAAGCCACGGCUAACUACGUGCCAGCAGCCGCGGUAAUACGUAGUGGCAAGCGUUGUCCCGGAAAUUUAUUUGGGCGUAAAAGCGGCGCGCAUGCGG